AUUUAUUCUGGAUCAAUGUGGGGAGAACCCUGAUCCAAGGCAUUAGCGGCGGUGUGUUGAAGAAGGGCCUUAUUGGUUGUAAGGCAGCCUUAAAGCGAGAGGAGGGAGCCUUACCUGGUUUAAUUCCUUGGAUAUAGUGGGACGUUGACUUCGGCAAGAAUAAGCACCGGUCUAAUUCUGUGGCAUGCAGGCCGGCGGUAAUACCAGAGGGUGCAAGCGUUAAUUGGGAUUUUCCUGGGCGUAAAAGCGCGCGUAGGUGGGCUAAUUUAAGUCAAAAUGUGAAAUUCCCCCGAGCUUAACUUGGGAAAUUGCAUUCGAUACUGGUUAGCUAGAGUAUGGGAGAGGGAUGGUAGAAUUCCAGGUGUAGCGGUGAAAUGCGUAGAGAUCUGGAGGAAUACCGAUGGCGAAGGCAGCCAUCUGGCCUAAUACUGACACUGAGGUGCGAAAGCAUGGGGAGCAAACAGGAUUAGAUACCCUGGUAGUCCAUGCCGUAAACGAUGUCUACUAGCCGUUGGGGCCCUUGAGGCUUUAGUGGCGCAGCUAACGCGAUAAGUAGACCGCCUGGGGAGUACGGUCGCAAGACUAAAACUCAAAUGAAUUGACGGGGGCCCGCACAAGCGGUGGAGCAUGUGGUUUAAUUCGAUGCAACGCGAAGAACCUUACCUGGCCUUGACAUACAGAGAACUUUCCAGAGAUGGAUUGGUGCCUUCGGGAACUUUGAUACAGGUGCUGCAUGGCUGUCGUCAGCUCGUGUCGUGAGAUGUUGGGUUAAGUCCCGCAACGAGCGCAACCCUUUUCCUUAUUUGCCAGCACUUUGGGUGGGAACUUUAAGGAUACUGCCAGUGACAAACUGGAGGAAGGCGGGGACGACGUCAAGUCAUCAUGGCCCUUACGGCCAGGGCUACACACGUGCUACAAUGGUCGGUACAAAGGGUUGCUACUGCGCGAGCAGAUGCUAAUCUCAAAAAGCCGAUCGUAGUCCGGAUCGCAGUUUGCAACUCGACUGCGUGAAGUCGGAAUCGCUAGUAAUCGCGGAUCAGAAUGCCGCGGUGAAUACGUUCCCGGGCCUUGUACACACCCCCCGUCACACCAUGGGAGUUUGUUGCACCAGAAGUAGGUAGUCUAACCGCAAGGAGGACGCUA
rnacentral:rRNA from 1 species